GCACGGGUGAGUAACACGUGGGAACCAACCCUGAGGUUCGGAAUAACCGCGGGAAACUGCGGCUAAUACCGGAUGUCCCCUACGGGGGAAAGAUUUAUCGCCUUGGGACGGGCCCGCGUCCGAUUAGCUAGUUGGUGAGGUAAUGGCUCACCAAGGCUCCGAUCGGUAGCUGGUCUGAGAGGACGACCAGCCACACUGGAACUGAGAUACGGUCCAGACUCCUACGGGAGGCAGCAGUGGGGAAUAUUGGGCAAUGGAGGCAACUCUGACCCAGCCAUGCCGCGUGGGUGACGAAGGUCUUCGGAUUGUAAAGCCCUUUCGGCGGGGACGA
rnacentral:rRNA from 1 species